CUUCAGGGUUUGUGGAUCAAAGUCAUCCCAGUUUUUCAGAACGCGUCCCAAAGGGGUAUUGGCCUUGGUUAGGGAAUUGCCCAUCUAUAGGAAAAAGAGAAAAAGGCAUCCCUUAUAGCUGGCCAGGAGAAACCUCAUCUUCUAACCCCGCAUUUUGGCUGGCUACGGGAUCGGCAGCCAGAAGCCCUGUCAGUCUCUCGAGCUGCUGGGAGUAGUUGCUCUUACCCAGGCUUGAUCCUACUUCCGAGAGCUGACCUGGUCUUCCCUGAUUUCUCCUACCCGUUUCCCGCCCGUGGGACCUUGGGAGUACAGACUGUGACCUUGAAAGACUCCCAUGGUUGUUGAGGGAUGCAUUAAUUUAAUUUAUCCCAAUAGUAAUUUACGUAUCGAUCAUAAUAAAACCGUUCCUCUUUACAAAUCUAUUUUAAAAGGCUAGCGAAAACCGUUGGCCCCCCCACCCAAGGAUAAAUUGGCCAUUGAAGGGGGGCUAAGAGGGCCAAAGUCGACAUCUAUUCCCCUGCCUUUUUUUCAGCAAUGCCCACGUAAAUAUGUUCCAGCCAUGUGGGUGUCCAUUUCACAGUCACUAGAUUGGUACAAGUUGACAUAUACUGGGCUCAGUGUAGCAAAAUGGCCCCAUGUAUCCCGGUAAAACCCUUCUCAUAUCUUAGUCACCCAACCCUCAUAUGGCACAGGCAUCCAUUCCUCUGCCUUGCAGAAACAACACAAAUGUGGCACGUUUGGAGGCCGGCAGCAAGGACAUUACCAUCAUCUCCCCAGCCUUUGGAUCAAAGGAGGGGCAAUUUCAACCAAGGCUUGAGCAAAUCAACUCAAAAGGGCGUGCUGUCCUGCUCUUUUGGUUAAAAUCAUAGUUUUUUCCAUCUUUUUGGGCAACAGAGGAAGGAAAAAAACUAUUUUUUUUCCCAAAAGCAGACCAACAAUCCAAGAAAACUUUGUCUUUUAACAGAGAGUAAAUCAGAAUUUUAAUCUUAUACCAGUGGUUUCGCUGAAGUGAAACCAACCUGAGCAUCUUAUCAGGCAUCUGAGUUAUCACCACUAGUUUGUCACCUUAGCAACAGGAAAGUUCUAGAAGAGCCAGCCUUGUGGUACCUCCCCACAGAAAGGUUCUGUCUCCCAAAUAGCAGAAGUGCUUCACCCCAACUACGCAGGCCACGGCUUGCAGGGCUCAGGGAUGCCUCCAGCCAGCUGUGGCACCAGGGGCGAGUUCCCUGGCCAGCGAGGCCACUCCAUAAUGAAGAUUAGAUAGGGUCACUUACGUCAUGAGCAAGGAAAGGGCCUGGCUGUGACAGGCUGUCUUAGGAUUCACCAUUGCCGUCCUGGACUGCUAGGCAUGGAACAUCGUGUGACCAACAUGAAGUUCUUCUCCCAGCCCACUGAUGGAGGGUCACGUUCCCCUCCCACAGACAGCAGAAUCCUGCCAGGAGCCCACGCUCAGCAGAGACAUCCUCACCAUCCCCCAUGUUAUCACCAUGACAGCUCAGAGAGAGCCCCAGUGACCUGUGUCACAAUAGGAUCUUGUAGACAUGACUGUGACCUCCAAGCCUGGGUCAUAAAAGACAAUCACCCUGCCAGGCUGUCUCUGAGAGCAGCCAGCCACCAUGCCCUGCAGAUGCCCAAGCAGUCCUGUGGAGAGCCAUGUAUGGAGAGGAACCAGCCGUGUGAGGGAUUGCCGGGGAAGGGAGUCUUCCGGCCUCAGUCACACCUUCAGAUGAGACCACAGCCCCAAACAUCCACCCAACUCCUCCCAAAUUGCUGACCUCCAGAAACCAGGAGAGCUCAUAUGUGUUGAUUGUUAUACGACUGAAUUAUGGACCCAAGACCUCUCUCCCCUGCUGGCUCUCCAAUUCAGUCCGAAGAUGGGGACAGAGACCACGGAAAGGUCACAGCACUUCUAAAUCCUCUGGACUGGAAGUGGCACUUGCUGGACCCACUCAUGUUCCACUGGGCCUUGGACCCCUAACAGCCCGAGAUGAUUCUCUUUGCAGUGGCCCCAGCAGCCCCCUGAGAUGCAACGCAACGUCCCCGGUCAGCAGGGGCAGCCACUAUAGCCCUCAGUGAUCCAGCCCAAAGCCCAUCAGCGCUGUGGCCGAGACUUGGGCUGCAGAGGCUGGAAUGUGGCCUCUGAACUGCCUGCUGUGCACAGAGAAGGAAGAACAUGAAAACGUGAGCAAUGAAGCCAACAAUAACCCAUCAUUUAAAUCCUGCUUCUCACACUUUGUCUUGGAAACAAAAGUGAUCCAAGGAAUUCAUGCCCAGUCUCCACCCAACAGAACCCUGCUGAGGCAUCGAUGGCCUUGCAGAUCCUCUCCAGCAGGGCCUCCCAGGCUGGUGUGGUUCCUCCACGAGAAAUGUGAAAUCUUCUGUCACCAUAUACAUUUGGGAAAUGCCAGGAGCAUCUCCUCGGGAUUCAGCCCCAAAACGGAUGGGCAUGCGCACUGGGCAGGACCGAGCAGCGGAAGCUGAGUGCCAAUGUGAGUGUAAGUGGUCGGGCCACCUGGCAAGCAUCUGGCAGCUUCCCCUGGAGGGAAGCACUCACCUGGCCUAUUAACCGGGACAAAUGAAAAUACAUGCCCCCCACCCCCACCAAGGCUACCUGCCCCUGUUUGGACAAUCACCUGUCUGGACAAGGAGGCCAGCACAUCCUGCAUGUUGGUGGGGGGGGGGGGGUUGGGGACUCAAGCCCCGGAGUGUCAAGGGCACAGCGCUGGCUGCCAUCCGCCUCUGCCCACUGGGAAUGCUCCGGGGAGGGGCCUCUAACCAGACUUGAUAGAACAUAUAGACUGCACACUUUUGUGUGGACCCUUGACACUCAGAACCAUGUCUCAGAGAUUCAUCUGUUUCCUGGCGUGGACCCUUCAUUUUCUGGGGCUGAGUGGUGUUCUACCACGUGAACACUCCGGGAUUCCUUUGUCCGCUUGGAUGGUUCUUAAUUUGAGGUUACAAUAUAGCUGCUAUGAACAUUC